rnacentral:tRNA from 1 species
AAAGAUAUAACUCAGCGAUAGAGUGCCACCUUGAUAUGGUGGAAGUCAUUGGUUCGAGCCUGAUUAUUCUUA